rnacentral:rRNA from 1 species
AUUGAACGCUGGCGGAAUGCUUUACACAUGCAAGUCGAGCGGCGGCACGGGGGCAACCCUGGUGGCGAGCGGCGAACGGGUGAGUAAUACAUCGGAACAUGCCCAGUCGUGGGGGAUAACACUUCGAAAGAAGUGCUAAUACCGCAUACGUCCUGAGGGAGAAAGCGGGGGAUCGCAAGACCUCGCGCGAUUGGAGUGGCCGAUGUCAGAUUAGCUAGUUGGUGGGGUAAAGGCCUACCAAGGCAACGAUCUGUAGCUGGUCUGAGAGGAUGAUCAGCCACACUGGGACUGAGACACGGCCCAGACUCCUACGGGAGGCAGCAGUGGGGAAUUUUGGACAAUGGGGGCAACCCUGAUCCAGCCAUUCCGCGUGAGUGAAGAAGGCCUUCGGGUUGUAAAGCUCUUUCGGCAGGAACGAAACGGCGAGCUCUAACAUAGCUUGCUAAUGACGGUACCUGAAGAAGAAGCACCGGCUAACUACGUG